rnacentral:rRNA from 1 species
UGCAAGUCGAGCGAGACCUUCGGGUCUAGCGGCGGACGGGUUAGUAACGCGUGGGAACGUACCCUUUUCUACGGAAUAGCCUUUGGAAACGAAGAGUAAUACCGUAUACGCCCUUCGGGGGAAAGAUUUAUCGGAGAAGGAUCGGCCCGCGUUAGAUUAGAUAGUUGGUGGGGUAAUGGCCUACCAAGUCUACGAUCUAUAGCUGGUUUUAGAGGAUGAUCAGCAACACUGGGACUGAGACACGGCCCAGACUCCUACGGGAGGCAGCAGUGGGGAAUCUUAGACAAUGGGCGCAAGCCUGAUCUAGCCAUGCCGCGUGAGUGAAGAAGGCCUUAGGGUCGUAAAGCUCUUUCGCCAGGGAUGAUAAUGACAGUACCUGGUAAAGAAACCCCGGCUAACUCCGUGCCAGCAGCCGCGGUAAUACGGAGGGGGUUAGCGUUGUUCGGAAUUACUGGGCGUAAAGCGCACGUAGGCGGAUUAGAAAGUUAGAGGUGAAAUCCCAGGGCUCAACCCUGGAACUGCCUUUAAAACUCCUAGUCUUGAGUUCGAGAGAGGUGAGUGGAAUUCCAAGUGUAGAGGUGAAAUUCGUAGAUAUUUGGAGGAACACCAGUGGCGAAGGCGGCUCACUGGCUCGAUACUGACGCUGAGGU